rnacentral:rRNA from 1 species
UGCGUAGGCGGGGCAAUUAGUCAGUGGUGAAAUCCUGCGGCUUAACCGUAGAAUUGCCAUUGAUACUGUUGCCCUUGAGUAUAGUUGAAGUGGGCGGAAUAUGUAAUGUAGCGGUGAAAUGCAUAGAGAUUACAUAGAACACCAAUUGCGAAGGCAGCUCACUAAGCUAUCACUGACGCUGAGGCACGAAAGCGUGGGGAGCGAACAGGAUUAGUACCCUGGUAGUCC